rnacentral:lncRNA from 1 species
UACAUUUUAGCAAUGUGUACCGGAUUUCAGUAGACAAAAAUACCCUUAUAUCAUGAAUUCUAAGUUUUAAGGUUAAGGGUAUUUUAAUAAUUUUCAUUCUCAAAAUUAAAAAAAUAAAAAAAGAAACUCCCGAAACCCUUAUUCACCUCUCUCAUUUCACUCAACUCUUUCUCUUUCAUCUCUUUCACUCCAACCUUUUCUCUGUCAUCCCUACUCUAGUCCCAAUUGAAAAAAAUCAGAAACACUUGUCUUAUUUUAAUAAUUUUCAUUCUCAAAACUAAAAAAAGAAACCACAAACCCCUAUUCACCUCCUUCAUCCCGCUUAAUCCUUUCUCCUUCAUAUCUCUCACUCAAACAUUUUCUCUGUCAUCUUUGCACCAGCCCCAAGUAAAAAACACUCAUUAUUAAAUAAAAUUGUUAGAGAAAAAAAAUACUUACAUAAAUAAAAAAAUUAAAGCACCUAAUUUUUUCUUUAUAUAAUUUUAAAUAAAAUUUCAAGAUUUAGAAUUUUUAUUGUUUGAUUUUAUCGUUGAGAAUUUUAUUGUAUUUUGAUUUGUUUUUUUUUAGUAAAGGAAAACAAGUUAAUGAUUUCUACCAAAAAAAAUUAAAUGGCCACGGAGCAAUGUUACAUAGUAGUCUCAGAAUGUAAAGGAAGGAUGCUCAUAAGUCUUGGUGCAAGUUGUAUCUGUCAGCUCUAAUAUAUAUAUAGUGAAGAUAAUGAAAUUAAAGAGAUUUUGAAUGAACUUUUUUUGGAAGGUGAAUAUGUCAAUGACUCAACUCUUUACAAAAUUAAAUCGUUUUAUAAUGAGUGUUUUUUUAGUUGGGGCUAGUGCAGAGAUGACAGAGCAAAUGUUUGAGUGAGAGAAAUGAAGGAGAAAGGGUUGAGAGGAAUGAAGGAGGUGAGUAAGGGUUUGAUGUUUCUUUUUUUAGUUUUGAGAAUGAAAAUUAUUAAAAUAAGACAAGUGUUUCUGAUUUUUUUCAAUUGGGACUGGAGUAGGGAUGACAGAGAAAAGGUUGGAGUGAGAGAGAUGAAAGAGAAAUGGUUGAGAGGAAUGAGAGAGGUGGGUAAGGGUUUGGGGGUUUCUUUUUUUAUUUUUUUAAUUUUGAGAAUGAAAAUUAUUAAAAUACCCUUAACCUUAAAACUUAN